rnacentral:rRNA from 1 species
UUGGGCUUUGCCUGCUAUCUCUUACCCAUGUCUUUUGAGUACCUUCGUUUCCUCGGCGGGUCCGCCCGCCGAUUGGACAAAUUUAAACCCUUUGCAGUUGCAAUCAGCGUCUGAAAAAACAUAAUAGUUACAACUUUCAACAACGGAUCUCUUGGUUCUGGCAUCGAUGAAGAACGCAGCGAAAUGCGAUAAGUAGUGUGAAUUGCAGAAUUCAGUGAAUCAUCGAAUCUUUGAACGCACAUUGCGCCCCUUGGUAUUCCAUGGGGCAUGCCUGUUCGAGCGUCAUUUGUACCUUCAAGCUCUGCUUGGUGUUGGGUGUUUGUCUCGCCUUUGCGUGUAGACUCGCCUCAAAACAAUUGGCAGCCGGCGUAUUGAUUUCGGAGCGCAGUACAUCUCGCGCUUUGCACUCAUAACGACGACGUCCAAAAAGUACAUUUUUACACUCUUGACCUCGGAUCAGGUAGGGAUACCCGCUGAACUUAAGCAUAUCAAUAAGCGGGAGGAAGAUC